rnacentral:lncRNA from 7 species
GGAGAGACAAACAAGUCUCCUAAUUGGAAAUUGACAGCUCUGGCACUCAUUUGAGACAAGCUUUUGCUCAAAUUAGCUCUUGAGUCACUUUGCUCAAUCUAUAGCUAGUCGUUAAAACACCAUGAAAGUUCUCUCUGCAGCACGUUUAGAAGAUUCUUUGGUUUUGAAAUCAAGACCCAUUCUUUGUAAUAGAAGUGGAGAAGAAAGGUCCUGCAAAGUACUGUGCAGAAUUAAUAUCUACAAAAAAAGGUGGACAAGGUACUGUAGGAGAACCAACCAAAAUUUUGACAUUUGGCUGUUAUCUGAGUGAAAGACUGCUUGUGGAGAAUAUGGAACUUGUACACAGGUGUUCCUGUGCUGAUCUUCCCCAAAGGCCAGGAUACUUAUCUGCCAAAUAAGAUUAAUUUCAAGUUUCUCAGUAUGAUCAGUCUUGACUCAAGGGAACACCAGUGACAUACUGAAUAUCCUUUUGGCUUGUUACUAACUCUUAUCAGAUCAUUUUAAACACCCCAAAAAAGUUCUUUUAAAAAUGCUUAUUCUAUCACUGGUAUAAUACUUCAGAACUAGUUAAGAACCGAGUAUCUCUCAGCAAUAAUGUUUACCAUAUGUUGGUGGUAUAUAUACAGAUUCUACAAGUGAAUAUGCUUAAGGAAAAUUCCAAACCUUCAGUAUUGAGAAAUCAGUGAAUGAAAGUGAACUGAAAUCUGUUUUCAUAAGCUGUUGUAAUUAUUUUCAACUUCAUGAAGGCUUUCUAACCUGUAAUUAAGCAUGAGGAAUGAGCUAAAAUCUGUUCUCAAACUUACAAGCUGAACUUCCCUUUAUGUCACUUAAAGUCUAGCUGAACUGCCACAGCCCUUGACAUUUCAAAUGCAUUGAAUAUUUUAUUGUUCCAUUCCUAUGGAUAUGCUUUGUUUAGACAUAAUCCAAAGCAGCAGAUCCAGAAAUAGAAGAGUUUUGGUUUAUUUUAAAGUUGACUUGCUGUGUCACACCUCAUUUGUCAUGCCAUUCUGUGUCUUGCAAACUACCAGAUACAAUGAUAUGCUCCAUAAAAAAAAAGAGAUAUGUCUCCAAGACUCUGUACAUAUCUUUGCCAUUUCUUAUGGCAAUAUUCAUUUGUAUCCUUUAUAUUAAUCUAAUGAACAUUUCUUCAUCAUUUCUGGAAACAGAUAGAAGGUGAACAACAAUUAAUUUUUUUGUGAUAUGCAUUCAGUCUCUUGGAGAAAUGUGUCGUAACUUGUCAGUAAGAUCUUGGAUUUUACUGAUGUUUGUUUGUUCUGGAAGUGAAAUUGUAAGUCAUAUUAAUAAUACUAUGAUUUU